UUGUCCUACAUGGUGCGUGAGCUCCUCAUC
rnacentral:piRNA from 1 species